rnacentral:rRNA from 1 species
GACCUCAAAUCAGGUAGGACUACCCGCUGAAC